UACGUAGGGGGCUAGCGUUGUCCGGAAUCAUUGGGCGUAAAGCGCGCGUAGGCGGCCCGGUAAGUCCGCUGUGAAAGUCAAAGGCUCAACCUUUGAAUGUCAGCGGAUACUGCCGGGCUAGAGUCCGGAAGAGGCGAGUGGAACUCCUGGUGUAGCGGUGGAAUGCGCAGAUAUCAGGAAGAACACCGAUGGCGAAGGCAGUUCUCUGGGACGGUACUGACGCUGAGACGCGAAAGCGUGGGGAGCGAACAGG
rnacentral:rRNA from 1 species